rnacentral:rRNA from 1 species
UUUAAGAGAUGAGAGAGGAAGAAAACUAAUCAAAGUAAUGUUAAAUGAGUAAAGAAUGGAAAAGUAAAAAUUAAUUUUUGAGUACUGAAAAGGAAAGUGUAGAAGAGGGAGAAGAAUUAUACCUUUGGUAUCAGGGUUUUUAAAUAAAAGAAAAUGGAAUAUUAAUUUUCGAAAUGGGAAGAUUUUAAAUUGGUGUUGAAUUGGUGUGGUAAAAUCAAUGGGGAAAAAAAUUUAAGAGGUGAAAAGUUUAUCGUUUCCCAUGAUAUCUAAUUAUCUGCGAGAAUAUUUAUUAUAUGAGAUUUUCUGGAGGGUGAAGCUUAGGAAAUAAUUUCAGGAUUAGCUUGGGGGAGUUAAUUAGAGGUUAGAAAAUGCUUAAUUUGUAUUUUGCUUUGAGGCGGCAAUAUAUAAUAGUGUGUAAUAACUGUUUGGAAGAUAAGAAUUUAAGUUGAAAUUAAAGAAAGUAGAUCAUAAAUAAUUUUUUAGAAAGAUAAUGAAAAAAUUAGUAUAAAAAGAAAUGUGUGAAAAAAAGAAAAAUAAUAGGUUGGAAAAUGAGGAAGAAAAAAAAUUGAGUUAAUGAAUUCGGCAAAAUUCAAGUCUGCCUGUUUAUCAAAAACAUGUCGUAUAGAAAGAAAUGAAAAAUUAUAGGUUGGGCCUGCCCACUGAGUUUUUGAAGGGUUGCAGUAUUUUGACUGUACUAAGGUAGCAUAAUAAUUAGUUUUUUAAUUGGAAACUGGAAUGAAAGGUUUGACUGAUGGGCUUGUUCUUUAUGGGUUGAAUAAGAUUAGAAUUUAGCAGCUUAGUAAGAAUGCUAAGCUGGAUUAGUGGGACGAUAAGACCCUUUAGAGUUUAAAUAAAUAUUUUUUCUGGGGCGGAAGUGAAAUUUAUAACUUUUAUUGGAGAAAGAAGAUUAGAACCAUAAUUUAUGAAUUUUGAUUAAAUUACCUAAGGGAUAACAGCGUUAUAUUUUUGGAGAGAUCAAAUUGAUAAGAAAGGAAUUGCGACCUCGAUGUUGAAUUAAAAUGGUAUUAAGGUGCAAGAAUUUUAAAUACAAGUCUGUUCGACUUUUGAAAUUUUACAUGAUUUGAGUUCAGACCGGUGUGAGCCAGGUUGGUUUCUAUCUGCUAAGUGAAAAGUGAAUGAGUUAGUACGAAAGGGCCCCUCAGGAUUUU